AACACGGACCAAGGAGUCUAACAUGUGCGCGAGUCAUUGGGUUCUAUACUAAACCUAAAGGCGCAAUGAAAGUGAAGGUCUUCCUUAGCGUUGGCCGAGGGAGGAUGGCUCGCGUCACGAUGCGAGCCCGCACUCCCGGGGCGUCUCGUGCUCAUUGCGAGCAGAGGCGCACCCAGAGCGUACACGUUGGGACCCGAAAGAUGGUGAACUAUGCCUGGUCAGGACGAAGUCAGGGGAAACCCUGAUGGAGGUCCGUAGCGAUUCUGACGUGCAAAUCGAUCGUCGGAACUGGGUAUAGGGGCGAAAGACUAAUCGAACCAUCUAGUAGCUGGUUCCUUCCGA
rnacentral:rRNA from 1 species